GAUGAACGCUGGCGGCGUGCUUAACACAUGCAAGUCGAACGGAAAGGCUCCUGCUUGCAGGGGUACUCGAGUGGCGAACGGGUGAGUAACACGUGGGUGAUCUGCCCUGCACUUCGGGAUAAGCCUGGGAAACUGGGUCUAAUACCGGAUAGGACCACAUUUUGGAUGGUGUGGUGGAAAGUUUUUCGGUGUGGGAUGAGCUCGCGGCCUAUCAGCUUGUUGGUGGGGUAAUGGCCUACCAAGGCGUCGACGGGUAGCCGGCCUGAGAGGGUGUACGGCCACAUUGGGACUGAGAUACGGCCCAGACUCCUACGGGAGGCAGCAGUGGGGAAUAUUGCACAAUGGGCGCAAGCCUGAUGCAGCGACGCCGCGUGGGGGAUGACGGCCUUCGGGUUGUAAACUCCUGUCGCUAGGGACGAAGCGUUUUUGUGACGGUACCUGGAGAAGAAGCACCGGCUAACUACGUG
rnacentral:rRNA from 1 species